AAGCGAGAGUUUCUGUCCGUCAUUUUAAAACAGGGAUAGCCGUGAGUGAGUCGCCCAGGCAGCAUCACGCUGAAGUCAUUAUUGAAAUGUUGCUCCUUUUCACACAUAAACCCACAGUGAAUCACCAAAGUCUUUUAACCCUAUUCCACAUCCUAUUCACCACAAGACAAGUGGACACAAGUCCAUAAUGUAUAUACCAUAUAUGUUUGGUAGCAAUGUAUACCACGAAUAAAGUUGAUGAAUUUAA